UCCAAAGCAUUUUCAUGGAUCGGCGUGAACGGAUUUGCCCCCUUCUCCGCCUCGCACCCAAGUGGAGCUACUCUCUGGCUCUUUACCAACAGCCUAAUCGCCUCAUUAGCAUAUCAACAAUAGUCCAAUUGCUCGCCAGCACCGCAAUCUGCGGCCGGCCGCUCCGACCCAGGUAUAAAGGCCUCUCCGAGCCGCGAACUUGCUCCUAGAGCGCACGCCUGCCUGCGAGCCGACGAAAUCUCCCCUGAGACCUGCCGUGCGCCCCGGCCCCGGCCACCCCCGGUCCCCGCCGCCGCACCAUUCCACCCCAGUCCUCUCCCCCUCCGUCUCCUCCUCCAGGGAGAUGCCGUCCGCAAGAACCCGGCGCUGUGCAGGGUCCGCGCCGCUGCGCCUGGGGCCCGCCUUUCAGCACCUCUCCCUCACCCCUGCCCGCGCUAACCGCGCUGUCCUUUCGGCCCCGUCCAAUUUUAUUAGAAAUUAUUAUCCCUUUCGCAAUUAAAUAUAAUCAUCAAACCGAGACCGGCAAAGUCACUCCAGGAUUUUUGCCCAACAAGAGAUCGCCUCCGCUCGCUGCAGCCACCACCUCGGGCCGCAGCGCCUUGGGAGUUUUAUUGGCUUUGCUCUUCCUAACCCCCACCCCCACCCCACUGCCCCCCACCCCAGGUUGAAGAUUUUGCCAAACGGCUCCAGUCGCUCGGCUGGGGUUUGCGAUCCUUUAAUUGGCCGCGUGUAAAAUAAAAAUUGUACCCUAAAGAGGUUAGUUGACAGCUCCAGGGGUUAAGUGAUUUUCCUCUCGUUUGUAUGAAGCUAGGGCUGACUGAUAAUUCAACGUGGUGUUUGGGCAAAGGGUUUCCUAGGUGCGGUGUGGACAAAAUACAGAACUGUGGAGACUCACAGCCGCUCCUGGAGUUGUGCCGAAAUAACCGACAUGUGUGCUCCGUGUCAUGCAUGCAUCAAAAUAAAUCGCUGGGAACCAACUCUUCGCUGCGCUAAUCUGCUCCAGUUUUCCCAAGAUCCCCCUUUUUAAUUAAAGCAGGGAGAGUUCCUUCAUGAUUUGGUGAUGUUACUAAAGCAGGCGCGCUGGCGGCGCAGUGCCCGGCUGAGGCGGAACCGGAGGCCCCGGGGCCACCUCCUAGUCCAGAUUGGCCAGUCCAGGCUUUUCCGCUCCACGCAGGGACCUGCUCGCCCCAGCGGGGAUUGAUAUAUAUAUUUUUUUCCUUCUGCUUUUAGUGAAUUGUUUUAAAGAAGAAAUUAUAAAGAAAGACGAGGUGUAAUCCUUUGAAAUACAGAGUAAUUAAUUUAUCUGGCUGAGCUGCUCAUUUGUCCUCCGUAAAAAAGUUUUUGUGUGGCUUUCUCCCUCCUGAAUACUGCAAAUGCACCAACGUGGGUCUGCCUCAGAGCUGCUCUGGUAACAACUUCUGGUUCCAUCUAGGCCUGUUUUUUUUUUUUUUUCCCCAAAUCUCCAGGCCUCCCAGGUCUCCAUAGCGUGUCCCUGCAGAAGGGUAAAGGCUGUUGCAAACCCGAGCAUUUCUUAACAGGUGGACGGAAGGCAAGAUGAGGGAGGACCACCUUCCCUCACCCCCCACUCACCCCCCAUUUGCAGAAGGGCAAUUCUCCUUCCGGACGACCACAGCAAAUUCUCCCAGCCAGGCAGAGUAGGCCAGAGGCCUCCCAAGAGUUAGGAAAAGGACUGGAGCUAGAAGGGGGACUUAGAGCAUAAGGGACACCCUCCCUGGGGCACUCCCUACACUCCUUUUCCCCACCUGAACACUAACACAGUUCUUUGGCUGAACACAGCCCCGGGGUCAGGCACCCCGCUCGACCCGGAAAACAGUCAACUUCCAGUGCUCUCACCACUCACCCUGAAGGGCAGCCCCGGGGCCCGCCGCCCAACACAGUGGCUUGAAGUCGGGAGAUGGGCCGCCGCGAGCAUUUACACCUUCGCAACCAGCGGCCACAGCCACAGAGCGUGAUCUGUAGGCCAAAUCCCAGGCCUGGGAGCAUGGGAUUUUUGCACCCUCAGACGUCGCCACAGUAUGCUUAAGGGAACUUCAAGUUUCGCUUUCUUUCAGCUUGUGGGCUGGGAAAGGCAUUCAAGGCUCAUCAUCUUCUCCACCCACCCCCAUCCCCCUUGCUGACCAGCGCCCUGCAGAUUUCUGGCUCCGCAACCACCAGGGCCGCUAAACUGUUGUUGUAUUCCUGCCGAGGGUGCCUUUGAGGUGCAGAUUGCGGCCUGCGGGCUCUGCACCACAGUCCAGAAUUCUGGGCAUUGAAGAAAGGCCCAGGCGAGCAGACCCCAGAGCCAGCCAGGCUGCGUUUCUGGGAACGUCAUUACCACGACAAGUCUCUUCAUUGCAUGUCAAUGCUCUGUCCCCACCAGCACCCCAGGACGGUAGCGCCAGGCCUAGGGAUAGAGGUUGGGGGUCCAGGCCUGAAGUGGGGGCGUGGAGAGGGUGUUGGAGGGAAAAAUGUGUAUCAGUGUGAGACAGAGACACAGAGAGAAACAAAGAGACAGUAAGAGGCCUGAAUGACUAUUUUCUCUGGUUGUCACCACUCAGUGGGACCCAAGAGCCCCACAGGCCAAGCCUGAAGGAUCCAGUCCCUCUAGGCCCCAAAUUCACAUGCCCCACCCGAGAGGCAGGCUUCCCACCGCUUGCCAAACUGUGAGCCCUCAGGAGCCAGGCCCAGGGUUCACUCCUUUCCCCCUUGGGCCAGAAUCUCACUGCUUCCCACCUGUAGGCCCUUGGGAGGCUCAGACCCAGUACGAUCCUGUGCUGCUGGUGCCUUCUCAGACCCAAGGAGUUCUGCCGCGAGGUCCACUCAGUUUGUGGAGAUAACUGCAAAGAUCUAAGCCAAAGAACUUCCCCAGUCUACACUUUCCAGAGACCAGAGGGGAGAAGGGCCCUGAGGCCGACCAGGGCCGUGGAGGGGAAAGGUACAGAUCCCCGACAUCUGUGUUUGGUGUGGGAUCUGCAUCCUUAAACCACAAAGUCACUCAGACUUUGGGGAUGAAGUUGUAUUUUAGUGAGGUUUCACCGGGAGGAGAGGUAUAAAAGAACUUUAGGGCUAAUAAAAAUAAUAAAUACAAGGAGAGAAAUAAAAACUGCAAGAUGAUUUCCUUUCCCCGACUCCAAAGAAUGUAGUGAAGACCAGCCUUCUCGGAACUUUACUUCUAAUGGCACAAGACACAAGAAAAAGAACCCCCACCCAGAAAGAGCAGAGCCUCAACUUCUCCCCGAAUUCAGUUCAAAUCGCCCUGCAGGCUUUUAGGCUCACAGAAUCUCACCCUAACCAGGCCUCACUUGGCCAGGGGUGGGGGGGGGGAAGAGGGCCCCCGCCAUUCCCAUUAUAAAAUCAGCCACCGAGGAGAGGCUCUUCCCCUCACCGGCCUUGCCAGAGCUUCCCUGGUUUCCGCAGGGAAAAUGUCUGGAAGCUAGGAGAGGGCCAGGAGAAUGCUCCCGGGGCCCGGGUGGGGUCAGGACUCCAGGAAGGCAGGAUCAAGGGCCCAGUUGGCCUUGUGGUACCCGCGGCCUAAGCAAGGCCCAGUUGGGCAGACGUCGGUUUCGGCGAAUUUCGGACCUGCCCUACCAACCCGCCGUUCACCCCUCAUCCAGUCACCCCAACCUAUAGCCCAAGCGGCGAAAACUGGCUUCACGACUCGCGCGGACCGAGCGAGACGCUAAACUUUGUGCAAACUCCUGUAAGGAAUGUCUGGUGUUGAUAGAAAUGACCUUCAAGGCCCUGAUUCUGGUGGUGCUAGAGAGACGUCUCUUGGAUCUAAUGUUGAUGUUUUGUUGGUGACUGUUUCCCACAAAUGAGCUCAACCUCCACUGAAACCUAGAAGAAAACCAAAAAACGUUUUGGUUGUUAUUGUCUGAGGAUAGAAGGAAUGCAAUGUCUGGAGCUGCUGCAGCCACCUUGUGACCAUGGAGGAAGCUCCCACAUGCAAGGAACAGCUGAGUGGAAAGAUGGAAAUAAUUCUAGUCUUUGAUGAUCUUAUUAAGCUGCCAGAUUCAAUGACUCUAUAGCUUUUCCUACCUCAGGACUUAAUAUGUAUGUGAGUAGAGCACAUUUAAUUUAGUUGGAGCCAAAAAAAAAAUUAGUUGGAGCCACAAUCAUCCUGAUAAAUUGGUAGUUCCAGAAAUAAAAGUAGGCACACAUAUAUUAUAUGGGAUUCCUUGAACCAUGUGCAUGGAAAUCCUGGGAUCCCAUGGAAUUCUGCUAGUAUUCUAUAGGGCUGAUAGAAAUAGGAUUCUGUAAUGGGUAUGUAUGUGUUUACAUUGGAAAGUGUGUGAAGAUAUAAAUUCAGAAUGUUACUCCUUUCACUUUUGUCUUCAAACUAAAGCAGUCCAUCCAUUUGCAAAUAUAAAACAAAGGCUGGGGCAGAGAUAACCUACAAGUGGAAAAUUUCUUAUUUGACCUGAAUAAGAUUAAACCUAAAGAAAAAGACAUUUUUCUUACAAUUCAUACAAAUCCCUAAACUGUCAUAAUAUAUACAAUUGUAAUUUUUUAAAGAAUUUCUUUUUUGUUUUAAGAUUUUUAAAAAAUGUAUUUAUUCAUGAGAGACAGAGAGGUAGAGGCAUAGGCAGAGGGAGAAGCAGGCUCCCUCCAGGGAGCUUGAUGCGGGACUCGAUCCCAGGACCCCAGGAUCACAACCAAGCCAAAGGCAGAUGCUCAACCUCCGAGCCACCCUCAACUGCUGAGCCACCCAGGCGUCCCUGUACAAUUGUAAUUUAUCACUGUCAUCUUCCAAGUGAUUAUUAGUGGUAUAGACUUCAUUACCAUUGCCUUGAAAUGUAAAUCAUUAAACUGUUACCAUCAUAUCAA